GGAUAGCUCAGUUGGUAGAGCAUCGGACUUUUAAUCCGACGGUCGCGGGUUCAACUCCCGCUCCA
rnacentral:tRNA from 1 species